GAGGGUGUAGCUCAGUUUGGUAGAGCAACGGCCUUUUAAGCCGUGGGUCCAGGGUUCGAUCCCCUGCACCCUCACAA
rnacentral:tRNA from 1 species